rnacentral:rRNA from 1 species
GGGUCAGUAGGUUGGUCGUGCCACCGGUACGUACUGGUCUCACUGAUUCCUCCUUCCUGAAGAACCGUAAUGCCAUUAAGUUGGUGUUGCGGGGAAACAGGACUGUUACUUUGAAAAAAUUAGAGUGUUUAAAGCAAGCUAACGCUUGAAUACAUUAGCAUGGAAUAAUGAAAUAGGACGAUCGAUCCUAUAUUGUUGGUUUCUAGGAUUGACGUA